UCCAGACUCCUACGGGAGGCAGCAGUGGGGGAUAUUGCACAAUGGGGGAAACCCUGAUGCAGCGACGCCGCGUGAGUGAAGACGGCCUUCGGGUUGUAAAGCUCUGUCAAUCGGGACGAAGAAGAUGACGGUACCGAUGAAGGAAGCUCCGGCUAACUACGUGCCAGCAGCCGCGGUAAUACGGAGGAUGCGAGCGUUAUCCGGAUUUAUUGGGUUUAAAGGGUGCGCAGGCGGAUUUUUAAGUCAGCGGUCAAAUCGUGGGGCUCAACCCCAUCCAGCCGUUGAAACUGGGGAUCUAGAGUGUGCGAGAGGUAUGCGGAAUGCGUGGUGUAGCGGUGAAAUGCAUAGAUAUCACGCAGAACCCCGAUUGCGAAGGCAGCAUACCGGUGCACAACUGACGCUCAGGCACGAAAGCGUGGGUAUCGAACAGGAUUAGAUGCCCUAGUA
rnacentral:rRNA from 1 species